GACGAACGCUGGCGGCGUGCUUAACACAUGCAAGUCGAACGGAAAGGCCCUGCUUUUGUGGGGUGCUCGAGUGGCGAACGGGUGAGUAACACGUGAGUAACCUGCCCUUGACUUUGGGAUAACUUCAGGAAACUGGGGCUAAUACCGGAUAGGAGCUCCUGCUGCAUGGUGGGGGUUGGACAGUUUCGGCGGUUGGGGAUGGACUCGCGGCUUAUCAGCUUGUUGGUGGGGUAGUGGCUUACCAAGGCUUUGACGGGUAGCCGGCCUGAGAGGGUGGCCGGCGACAUUGGGACUGAGAUACGGCCCAGACUCCUACGGGAGGCAGCAGUGGGGAAUAUUGCACAAUGGGCGGAAGCCUGAUGCAGCAACGCCGCGUGCGGGAUGACGGCCUUCGGGUUGUAAACCGCUUUCGCCUGUGACGAAGCGUGAGUGACGGUAAUGGGUAAAGAAGCACCGGCUAACUACGUG
rnacentral:rRNA from 1 species